AGUGAACGCUGGCGGCAGGCCUAAUACAUGCAAGUCGAACGGCAGCACAGUGGAGAUUGCCCCAUGGGUGGCGAGUGGCGGACGGGUGAGGAAUACAUGGGAAUCUGCCCAGUCGUGGGGGAUAACGUAGGGAAACUUACGCUAAUACCGCAUGCGCACUUCGGGGGAAAGCCGGGGACCUUCGGGCCUGGCGCGAUUGGAUGAGCCCAUGUUCGAUUAGCUAGUUGGCGGGGUAAAGGCCCACCAAGGCGACGAACGAUAGCUGGUAUGAGAGGAUGAUUAGCCACACUGUGACUGAGAAACGGCCCAGACUCCGACGGGAGGUAGCAGUAGGGAAUAUUGGACGAUGGGGGCAUGCCUGAUCCAGCCAUGCCGCGUGAGUGAAGAAGGCCCUCGGGUUGUAAAGCUCUUUUGUCCGGGAAGAAAAGCAUCGGGCUAAUACCUCGGUGUUCUGACGGUACCGGAAGAAUAAGCACCGGCUAACUUCGUG
rnacentral:rRNA from 1 species